AAAUGAAUAGACGGGGGCCCGCACAAGCGGUGGAGUAUGUGGUUUAAUUCGAAGCAACGCGCAGAACCUUACCUAGGUUUGACAUCCCACGAAGAUUGCAGAGAUGUAAUCGUCCUUUCGGGGACGUGGAGACAGGUGCUGCAUGGCUGUCGUCAGCUCGUGUCGUAAGAUGUUGGGUUAAGUCCCGCAACGAGCGCAACCCUUGCCUCUAGUUGCCACCAUUAAGUUGGGCACUCUGGAGGGACUGCCGGUGUUAAACCGGAGGAAGGCGGGGAUGACGUCAAGUCCUCAUGGCCCUUACAUCUAGGGCUACACACGUACUACAAUGGCAGAGACAAACCGUUGCUAAGCCGUAAGGUGGAGCUAAUCGGAAAAACACUGCCUCAGUUCGGAUUGAAGUCUGCAACUCGACUUCAUGAAGUUGGAAUCGCUAGUAAUCGCAGAUCAGCACGCUGCGGUGAAUACGUUCCCGGGCCUUGUACACACCGCCCGU
rnacentral:rRNA from 1 species